rnacentral:rRNA from 1 species
AGAGUUUGAUCCUGGCUCAGGAUGAACGCUAGCGGCAGGCCUAAUACAUGCAAGUCGAACGGUAAAUGCCCUUUCGGGGGUAUGAGAGUGGCGCACGGGUGCGUAACGCGUAUGCAACCCACCCGCUGCCGGGGGAUAGCCCGGAGAAAUUCGGAUUAAUACCCCAUGAGGAGUUUGAGCGGCAUCGCUUGAAUUUCAAAACUUCGGUGGCGGCGGACGGGCAUGCGUGCCAUUAGAUAGUUGGCGGGGUAACGGCCCACCAAGUCGACGAUGGCUAGGGGAUCUGAGAGGACGGUCCCCCACAUUGGAACUGAGACACGGUCCAAACUCCUACGGGAGGCAGCAGUGAGGAAUAUUGGUCAAUGGUCGAGAGACUGAACCAGCCAAGUAGCGUGCAGGACGACGGCCCUAUGGGUUGUAAACUGCUUUUAUAUGGGGAUAAAGUGCGGCACGUGUGCCGUUUUGUAGGUACCAUAUGAAUAAGGACCGGCUAAUUCCGUGCCAGCAGCCGCGGUAAUACGGAAGGUCCGGGCGUUAUCCGGAUUUAUUGGGUCUAAAGGGAGCGCAGGCGGGCUUUUAAGCGUGACGUGAAAUGUGGAUGCUCAACAUCCGAGCUGCGUCGCGAACUGGAGGCCUUGAGUGAGUACGACGUGGACGGAAUUCGUGGUGUAGCGGUGAAAUGCUUAGAUAUCACGAAGAACCCCGAUUGCGAAGGCAGUCCACGAGUCCUUUACUGACGCUAAAGCUCGAAAGUGCGGGUAUCGAACAGGAUUAGAUACCCUGGUAGUCCGCACGGUAAACGAUGGAUGCCCGCUGUUUGCGACAUACUGUAAGCGGCCAAGAGAAAUCGUUAAGCAUCCCACCUGGGGAGUACGCCGGCAACGGUGAAACUCAAAGGAAUUGACGGGGGCCCGCACAAGCGGAGGAACAUGUGGUUUAAUUCGAUGAUACGCGAGGAACCUUACCCGGGCUUGAACUGCAGCGGAAGGAUACAGAGAUGUUGACGCCCUUCGGGGCCGCUGUGGAGGUGCUGCAUGGUUGUCGUCAGCUCGUGCCGUGAGGUGUCGGCUUAAGUGCCAUAACGAGCGCAACCCCUUUCGUCAGUUGCCAUCAGGUCAAGCUGGGCACUCUGGCGACACUGCCACCGUAAGGUGUGAGGAAGGUGGGGAUGACGUCAAAUCAGCACGGCCCUUACGUCCGGGGCUACACACGUGUUACAAUGGGUGGUACAGAGAGUCGGCCGCUGGCAAUGGCGGUCCAAUCAUCAAAGCCAUCCUCAGUUCGGAUUGGGGUCUGCAACCCGACCCCAUGAAGCUGGAUUCGCUAGUAAUCGCGCAUCAGCCAUGGCGCGGUGAAUACGUUCCCGGGCCUUGCACACACCGCCCGUCAAG